rnacentral:lncRNA from 1 species
CGCUUCAGUCAGAAUUGGAUAGGAUUUUGUACCUCCUAAAGGUUGCUGAUCCAAGCGGAGAAGAGGUUAAGAGAAAGGAGUUGAAGUCACAAGAACCGAAAAUGAAGAAAUCUGAAAUUCCUCCUGUAGAAAAGAAGAAGAGCCUACCUUUAAAAGCAGCUGAUGCUGAUGAGAAUAGAGAGAAAGAGGUGGGCAAAGAUAUAGAGGACUCGAACAGUAAGCCUGAAGUUGAAACCAAAGCAAGUGAAACAGCUGAAGAGAAGAAGACCACUGUGUUUGUUCCAACAAAACCCCAAUGGCUCGGUUCCUCUGCAAACAAAGACACAGUUGAAGAGAAGAAAUCUGAGACUGUAGAUGCUGCUGCUGCUAGUGCUACUGGUAGCACAGAUGAUGGUGAUGGGUUUGUUGACUAUAAAGAUAGAAAGACAAUGAUUGAAGGUGCAACAGGAUUGAUUAUAAGAAAACGGAAGCAAGAAGACAAGAGCAAAGAAGAAGAUGAAAUAGCAAAGGAAAAGGAAAAGGAAAAGCAAGCGGAGGUCAUGGCACAAGACGCAGUUGCUCUCUUGUUGAAACAUUCUGUAGGACAUCAUAUAAACAAAGAAGACGAAGGAGUCAGUAAAAAGGAAGAAAGUAAGCAAGGAAGUGGCCGUAGUAGAAAGAAAAAGAAGACGGAUAAAAAAGUACUUGGUCCUCAUAAACCAGAAUAUCUGGAUGAAACCACAGAUUAUGAUUCAUCAUGGGUACCUCCCAAAGGUAAAUCAGUACACUGCAUUUUGAAUCGAAUUCAGUUUUAGAAAAUGGUGAUGGUGCUGAUGAGUGAUUUGAAAUGUGUAGGACAAUCUGGUGAUGGACGGACGUCUCUGAAUGAUCGUUUGGGAUACUGAUAGGCAUUUUAGUCGCCAAGAGCAAACCAUGGGAUCAAGAAAAGGUCAUAAGUGUAGCUUUAAACAUGUCAAGUUUGCAAUUUUCACUUUCGGUGGAGAUUUAUUGGUCACAUUCGCAGUGUUUAAUGCUGUAAGUUGAAAGUGUGAAGUGCUUCUUUGGUGGCUUUAUUCCCUUGGUUAAAUUAAGCUUCAACUAAAAGCAUAGCCCUCUUCUCUACCAAAAGAAACAACAUUUGAUUUCAGUGCAUAAUGUGUUAUUUGAUUUUAAGCUGCGUAUUGAUGAUGUAAACUAGAGAUGUUUUCCAUAAUAGAACACGGCAAGAUAUGAAAAGAAAUUCAGGGAUGAGCUAACAUUAGCGCCUCUAGUUUUGCAAAUGAUAUGAUUGAAAAGGUAGCCAAAUAUAAAGAUAUCUUACAUAAAGUGAAUGCUACACCCUCUUAAGGAUUUUUGAUGUAAUGGUGGGACUUGGAGUUCACAUUAGGAAGUUAACAAUUUUCAGCCGACCUGUUUCAUGGAGAAUGUUAGCAUCACAAUCCAGAUAUGGCAUUGCCGAGCUUUACAAAGCCGACUCUAGCAAUUUUCAGCUACCUGUUUUCAUGGAGAAUGUUAGGGUAAGUCUAAACCUUGGAUUGAUGAGUAUGGUAUGAACCUGGAUUUACAAGAAGUGUUUCUUUCUAUAAGCUCUUGAGCCAAAAUAGUACUACGAGGAUAUGCCAUUUAGGUGUGAUAAGAAAUAUUUUACACGACCAAAUAUUGCUUAUCUUUCUUGAUAAUGUGAAUGAUCUUAAACAGUUAGAUGCUGUGGCUCAUGAGAUUUCGUGGGUUGGUCCUGAAAGUAUGGUUAUCAAGCCAACAGAAUAUAAAAAGCUUGUGGAGCAACAUGGUUUCAAAAGUAUCUGCUAUGUGGAUUUCCCAUCUAGAGAAGAAGCUCUGAAGAUCCUUUGUGGUUUUGAUUUUUAGCCAAAACUCUCCACCUGAUGUGUUUAUAGCGCUUGCAGAAAGAAUAACAAAAAAUUGUAACAUGGUUGCCAAAUAUGGGUUUAAAACCCUCGCCAAUAAAUCUCUCAUACAUAUACCUAGAAAUGGAUCAAUUAGGCAGUGGUCUCGCCUUCACUCUCUCACAUGUCACAAGACUAGAAACCUCAAGACAGCAUCACAUGUCCCCAAAAGCGUAACAUAUCUAACACCUAAGCAAGACUUGUAUUGAGAAGAUUCCAUAUGACAUCAAAGGUGUUCAUGGGCUACAAUUUUAUUUAAUUCUAGGUGUCUGCAGAAAAAAUCGCAUCACAGCCUGAGCUUCCUGACUCCCUCAUCUACCUAUUUACAGACGAGUGUGAAUCAUUUAAGAUCGUAUCUUGCUUUUCGAGCACUCAACAUGCGGAACUUUGUUUCACUAACUGCUUCAAACUAAACCAAGAAUCACGAAGAGGGGUAUUAUCCAACAACCAUUGACGAAAAACAUCUUUUCCUAUUGGUUGUUUCUACGACGAACCUCGAGCAAAACAUCUGGUUAUGUUUCACUCUGACUUGCUUAACAAAGACAAAUUUCCUGACGGUAUCAAAGGCAUCACAAACAGGCAGAUUGUUGGAGUUGGUUCAUCAUGAGGAUUGCUAUUGAUUGCUGUUGCAGGCUUGACCGUCUAAGGUUUCCAUAUUUUUUUUGAUAUCAGUGUUCUUACUGACUGUUUGUUUUUCAAAUGUUUUUUGGACAUAAAGGUUGUCUAAAUCUGGUAUGAAGUUGAAUUUUUACAGAAGGGGAUGACGAUUUGUCAUGUAUAACAUAGGACUAUAGGAUACUGUUGAAAUUUUGAACAACACAGCUCUCGUACCAUUUUGAACUUCCGGAUUUGGUGGACCUCACUCUCUCAAGGUCAGCUUUUGUUUCUUACUCUGUUUUUAUACUCUCUCUGUUUUUGUACUUGUGUUUUAUCAUACACAAGCGCACACUCUCUCAGUUUUUUUUUUUGUUGAUAAACACUCUCUCUCUUGUGAAACUUAAGAUGUAAGUUUCUAUAUAUUAUUAAUGAAUAACUGUUCCCUUUAUAUAGGGGUUACAAGAGAGAUAAAUGGAAAUACAAUAAUAGGAAAGAUUACAAAUCAUAAACAUAAACGAAUUAGGAAAUAGACAAGUUGUAGCCGCAUCUCUCUCUCUAGGGUUGGACCGUCUCUCUCUCUAAGUGUAUGGACCGGUUAUGGACAUCCACCAAUUGAUUUAUAACCCUCUCCAUUAGAUGCCAUAACCAUACAUGGAUUGUAAUACGCUUAAUGUUGCCUCAUUAAAACCUUAUCAGGAAAACCCAGUGGGACAAAACCAUGAUAAAGAAAAAAGAGUACAACACGUACUACUCUCCCUGAUGUGAACCUCAGUAGAGGUCCUUCAGCCUACGCAUCCCAAUAUGAUGCGUGAGCUUCCUAAACGUGCAGGUAGGAAGUGCCUUGGUGAAUAGGUCAGCUGAAUUGUCACUGGAUCGUACUUGGACGACCUGGACCUCACCGGCUUUCUGAAGCUCGUGAGUAAAGAAGAACUUAGGCAAUAUGUGUCUCGUCCUAUCACCUUUUAUGUAAACGUCCUUGAGCUGAGCAAUGCACGCAGCAUUGUCCUCAUACAUCACAAUUGGCUUUUUGCACUCGGCCAUCCCGCAAUCAGCUCGGACGUGUUGGGUCAUCGACCUCAACCAAACACACUCGCGGCUGGCCUCAUGUAUGGCCAAGAUUUCCGAGUGAUUAGAUGAUGGCCGCGAUGGUUUGUUUCAUGGAACGCCAUGAUAUGGCCGUACCUCCAUGUGUAAAGACAUAUCAUGUCUGUGAUCGAGCUUGAUGUGGAUUUGAUAAAUAACCAGCAUCAGCAAAGCCAACUAAACCAUCUUUGUUAUGGUUAGUAUAAUAUAGACCCAAGUCUUUCGUUCCUUGCAGGUAACAAAGAAUAUGUUUGAUCUCAUUCCAAUGCCUCUGGGUCGGACAGGAGCUAAACCUAGAUAGUAGGUUCACGACAAAGCUUAUAUCAGGCCGUGUGUGAGUUGCCAAGUACAUUAAAGCUCCUAUGGCACUGAGAUAUGGCAUUUCGGGACCUAGGUCAUCUUCAUCAUCAGAGAUAUUUUAUUAAUUGAUAGACUACUCCCACUUUGCCUCAUCUUUGUAUGGAACUUUACUCGCGUGCAGAUUGGCCAUAUGAAGAAAGAAAUAGCUGCUAUUCGAGCUAAAGACAUUUCUCAGGGUGGAUUAACACAAGGACAACAAACACAGAUCGCCAGGAAUGACCAGAGAACAGCCGAGGUAACCUUUAGUGUUGUUGUGGUAACUAGAUCCUCAUGAGAAUCUUCGAUUUCGGUUACAUAAUUCUUUGUUUGGCUCCCGUACCUUUCUAUAUAAUAGCUUCUCGAAGAGCUUGAGACCUUGGAGGAGACACUAAAUGACAGCAUCCGAGAAAGUUUGGGUGCAAAAACAGGGAGAAAACCAAACAGUAAGAAGAAAGGAACUGUAGAAGAUGAGGAAGACUUCUCAAGGUACUUCAAGUGUUCAACCUCUGUAUCUGCAUCUUCAUCUAAAAGUAUUGCUUGUGUCUGUUGUGUUCUGAUUCUCACAAGGGAUACUGUGUUCUUUUCAGUGAUGAAGAUGACUUCUAUGAUCGGACCAAGAAGAAGAAACCAUCAACACAGAAAGGCACCGAAAGCCAAACUGUGGAAACGGUUGACUCUCUUCUAGAAAAGCGAGACAAAGUUUUGAAAGAAGUAGAAGAAAAGAAUGAACAGCUUUCGGCAGAGAAGAAUAAGAUGGAGACAGAGACUGUCCCAGAGGUUUCUUCGGGAGACUCCCUUGAUGCAUACAUGACAGGGCUUUCUUCAACACUUGGUAACGCUACAGUUCCAUUUUAUCCUUCUAUUUAUGAAAAUUUUGUGAAUAAUAUUAAUAAAGUUUUCCUUUUAUUCUCGUCAGUGCAAGAUAAAACUGCUCAGAUCCAGCAAGAGUUGUCCACGCUUCAGUCAGAAUUGGAUAGGAUUUUGUACCUCCUAAAGGUUGCUGAUCCAAGCGGAGAAGAGGUUAAGAGAAAGGAGUUGAAGUCACAAGAACCGAAAAUGAAGAAAUCUGAAAUUCCUCCUGUAGAAAAGAAGAAGAGCCUACCUUUAAAAGCAGCUGAUGCUGAUGAGAAUAGAGAGAAAGAGGUGGGCAAAGAUAUAGAGGACUCGAACAGUAAGCCUGAAGUUGAAACCAAAGCAAGUGAAACAGCUGAAGAGAAGAAGACCACUGUGUUUGUUCCAACAAAACCCCA